UACGAAGGGUGCAAGCGUUUAAUCGGAAUUACUGGGCGUAAAGCGCGCGUAGGUGGCUUGAUAAGUUGGAUGUGAAAUCCCCGGGCUCAACCUGGGAACUGCAUCCAAAACUGUCUGGCUAGAGUGUGGUAGAGGGGUAGUGGAAUUUUCCAGUGUAGCGGUGAAAAUGCGUAGAUAUUGGAAGGAACACCAGUGGCGAAGGCGACUACCUGGACUAACACUGACACUGAGGUGCGAAAAGCGUGGGGGAGCAA
rnacentral:rRNA from 1 species